AACGCACAUUGCGCCCCUUGGUAUUCCGGGGGGCAUGCCUGUUCGAGCGUCAUUACAACCCUCAAGCUCUGCUUGGUCUUGGGCGUCACCGGUCCCCGGUGUGCCUUAAAAUCAGUGGCGGCGCCGCCUGGCUCUCAGCGUAGUACACACUCCCGCUACAGACGCCCGGUGGAUGCUGGCCAGCAACCCCCAUUUCUCAAGGUUGACCUCGGAUCAGGUAGGGAUACCCGCUGAACUUAA
rnacentral:misc_RNA from 1 species